GGCGGCCCGGCGGGGCCUCCAGCGUUCGCCUGCAGGGCGGCGUGGGGCGUGGCGGGCCUCUGGUGGCACCGCGCCCAGCACUUCGGGCUCUUGGUGGCGGCCGAGCUGCGGGACCAGAGAUCCCCCCACUCGGCACCCCUGCUCCUGCCGAGUGAACAGGACUCCUGGCUACUCUGCACUGGCUUUCUAACUUUCUGAUGGGGGUGCAGUCCUUUGCAUUCCAGGGGUCACAGCAACACCCGCAUCGCCCGUUCUCAGCCGCAGGGUCUCCGCCUGCAUCACUCGACUCUAAAAUUUCCUUCCCUAGUGCACGGAACUGCUGUCCAGGACUCUGCUCUCCGACUACCUCAGGGAGGAUUCUGUUUUGGGAAAAGUGUUGAUCCAUUUCUAAUUCAUCUUUGUUUCUUCAUAAUGGAGUGUUGUGCCAGAGAUGGCAUCUCACCAUGUUGAACUCGUGGCCUCAAGCGAUCCUCCUGCCUCAGCCUCCCAGUGCUGAGAUUACAGGCAUAAGCCACCAUGCCCAGUCUCUCUUUUCCCUUCUAUGGCCACAGCUGAAGAUGGCAGAACCACAAGUUAGGAGUCUUAGUUUCUGAAUUGGAACUCUUGGAGAAGAACCAUCUAGAAUAACUAUUUUGUACUUUACAUGAACGAAGCAGACUCUUCGGUUAUGUUUAGCUGUCAGCUUUAUCGUAAAACAUACUUGGGAUUCAUUGAUGAACAAGACAAGCUGGCACCUGUAGUCCCAGCACUUUGGGAGGCCAAGGCAGGAGAAUGGCUUGAGGCCGGGAUUUGCAGAUGAAACUGGGCAACGUAGCAAGACACUGUCUUUACAAAAAAUAAAGAAAAAUUAGCCAGGCACGGUGGCAUCCACCUGUAGUUGCAGCUGCUCAGGAGACUGAGGAGGAAGGAUCGCUUGAGCUCAGGAGUUCGAGGCUGCAGUGAACUAUGAUAUGAUAGUGCCACAGCAUUCAUAAUCAUCUCAUCUGCUUGCCUUGCUUGUUGAUUGGUUGCAUGUUUCUCUCAUAAGUGCAGGGACCUCAUAUCUCUGUCUAUUCACUUCUGUGUGCCCAUCAUCUAUUAUAUUGCUGGCAUAGAGAAGGCCUUUGCUAUAAACUUAUAGAAACUUGGAUAAAUGAAAGGCACCAGGCUAAGACAAGCAUGAUACCUGCCCUUUUGGACCUUACAGUAUAGAGUAGGGAAAAGAUAUUAAGUCAGUAGUGAAUAUACAAUUACAAAUCUGUUGAGUAUGAUUAAAGAAUAGAGUGCUGUGAGAGAAGGGAGAAGUAAAUUAAAUUGAGACCUGAAAGAAGAGUAGACAUUAGCCAAACUAAGUCAUGAAGAACUUUCCAGGCAAAGUCUCUUGGGGUAGGGGGAAGCUUGGCAAGUUUCAGGAAACAAAACAAGGCAGUGUGGCUGAAAGGAUCAAGGAGAAUGGUGCCAGUCAGGAUGAAGAGGGAGCUAGGAACCAGAUCAUUCAGACUCUCGUAGGCCAUGUUAGGGGGUUGCAAUUUCAUCGUAAUAACAAUGGAAAUUCAUUGAAAGGUUUUAAAAGUGGGGGAUAAAGUGAUCAAAUUGGUGAUUUUAAAAUAAUCCCUCUGUUACAUGGAGAAUGGAUUGGAGGGGGAGAAGUGAGGAUGUGGCAAAACAUUUUAAGAAAUUUAUUACAACAGCGCAGGAUGGCUUGGUCAGGUCCAGGGCCACCAAGCAAGGUUGUGGAGAUCGUGGCACAAGGGAGCAAGUGUGGCUGAAAUCCAGCCCCACUGUCUGCCCAAAAGAAGAGGCUUCUUUCACUAAUUUGCAUAAAGGUUAGCCCAGAAAUGACAGUGGUAGCAUGGAGAUGGAGCAAAGUAGACAGAUUUGGGAUAUACUUUGGUGGCAGAAUAAACCGGACUUAAUUAACUGGAGUGCAGGUUAGAGAGAGAAAGAGGUCACAAAUGAAUACCAGGUUUCUGCUGGGAACCAGUGAACAGUUGGAAAUGCCAUUUGUAGAGAUAGGCUAGAUGGAAGAUUUGAGGGUAAAGAGUGUAGUUGUCAGUUUCAGAAGAAUAAACUCCUCUGAGAUAUGACCUAACCCUCCCAGAAGGAAUGAUUUGCAUCUUCCUUUGGGAGGACAACUCAUCCUCUUCCCUUGCUGGGUUUACCCAAAAGGUGGUGGUGCUUGAGGGUGGAGGGGGGUAGGAGUAGUCUUACGAGAUGGGCACUCCUAUCCACUUGAAACUCAAGAUACUAACUCAGACCUGUAGCAAAAAUAGAGUAAGACUCUAGAAUAAAGCUGAUGCUCUUGGAUAUUUUCAAUCUUUUAUUGACAGGUACACAGGGAGUGGCAAAGGAGAUUUUUACAUGAAAUUAUGAGUACAGACCAGGCACUGUGGCUCAUUCCUGUAAACCCAGCACUUUGGGAGGCUGAGGCGGGUGGAUCACCUGAGGUCAGGAGUUCAGGACCAGCCUGGCCAACAUGGUGAAACCCCGUUUCUACUAAAAAUACAAAAUUAG
rnacentral:lncRNA from 1 species